UUGUUAAAAAAAACGUAAGCGCAACAACAGUGCAUUUUUACGGCGAGUUUGAUUACACAUAUCUCCAAACU
rnacentral:lncRNA from 1 species